GUAGCGGCUUCCGAGCCCGCGGCCAAGAUGCGCGCCCACAAAAACCCCACUCCGCAAAGGGACGCCUGCUCCGCUGCAGCCCAACAGAACCGCCCCGAGUGUUUCCCAACCAGCGCUUGCAAACGACCAAGAAGAGCCACGCACCGACCCGGCAACUGCACCCCAGACCAAAGGCGGGGAGCAAACUUCGCCGGACUUCAACGGGCAGCCGGGCAGCCGAACCACCGGAGGGGAGGGGAAACUACACCCCGCUGCCCCCGCGCCAGGCUUCUCCUCAAGGAGGUUCUGGAGCAAUAUUGAUACCUCCGACACCCACUCUGGGCGCUUCCCUGAGGUCAAGCCAAAGAUGAGCCCACCCAUGACUGACCUCUCCCCUUCGUUCUUUCCACCCCCACCCCCGCCUCUCACCUCAACGAGCUGGACGUAGCUGGCCGGGAACCAGCCCCUCAGCCCUUCGGCCGUCUCCCCUUCCCACCAACCGCCGUCGGGCCCCGCCUGGAGGACGGCCGAAGGAGUCACAUUAGGCAGAGAUCAGUUUCAGCUAAACAUGCAUAUUUUCGCCAAAAGACAGAGAAUAUGGACAUCAUAAACUGCUAAACCGAAACCUACAUAACAAGAGAGCAGCAAAGUACAGGUGGUCUCGACUUACAACAUUUACUGGCUUCUCCAACCAGAUGCCCCUCAGAUAUGUUGGACUACAAUCUUCAUCAUCCUCAGCCACCACAAGAAUAGUAAUCCAAAACUACUGGAGGACAUCAGAUUGUCUUGUCCACCAGAUCCUGGAGUCUCAGAAUAUUCUUCCGGUCUUCCUCAGACUAAACAAAGUUAUGAAACAAAGCUGCACAAGCUGCAUUGGACCUUUCCACAUCAAUCAUCAGGUCCUCCACUUCAUUCUGCAACCUCUGCUUGGUCUUCUCCAAGGAAGCACAUUUGGAAUUCACAGCUUCUACAUGUUCCUCAGCUUCCUGCAAACGCUGAGCAAGCUUUUUCCUGGAGCAAUGAAUGACCAACUAUUAGCAAUGAAUCUGCUUAGAAAAUAUGAAAGGAAGACAAAUUCACAAUCAUAUGAUAUGCAUAAAAACGACACACACUUCUCUGUUAUUGGCGUGGAAACUAUUUCAUUUUCAAGCUUUUUAAGAGUUAUGCAAAUCAUUUCUGUAUUAUGCAAAUGAUCUCAUGAAGCACUAAUUUGUCAUGCAGGACAGAUUGAAAAACUUUUGAAAAUGAGAAUGGUUAUUGGAGAAUGGUAAACUGUAAAAUAGUUUAAAUAAUUAAGAUUAAUUUUUAUUUUUUAUAUUGUCUUAUUGAUAACAUUAUUUCAGACUUAAGUAUCUUAUGCAGAUAUGUAAAAUUUGAAUUCCCAAUGAUUGAUAGCAAAUUAUAAAAUAUUUGAGCUGUUUCCAUGAAAUGUAUUAUUUUAAUGUGAUAUAAGAUAAUAAUUGUGAUUAUCAUUUAUACUUCCAUGUUCUUAUUUGAUGUCUCAUGAAUCCUCACACAAAUCCCUCAUCAGAUUCAAAUACCAAAUAAUAUGCUGUUUAAACUUUAAUUAUAGGAAUAAAUUAAAACUAAAGACAUUUCACUCUAAAUGGAUAAUCAGCAUAAAACUUGGAUUUGAACUUAUUAAAUUUUCAAAAAGUGAAUUAUAUUUAUAUGGGCUGUUGCAAUGAAUUACUAUUUUAAUUUGCAAAAGGUCAUGAAAUUAUUGCAUAAAAUGUUUUACAGAGAUUUGUUCACUCUAUACAAAUGCACUUUUUGUCAUUUAAAUGCAAUGCUUGAAGAUGC